UGGUCAGUCAGAUGACAAGCCCACCCUAACUUCCUCUGGUCAAGAUGGUUUGAGCGACAGCACACAUGCGAAAAUUUCUCUGAACAGAUUAAGCUAAUUCGAAGUGAAUUACAAGUGAAUUUAGGAUACAAUUGCAGAUAUUUUAGUGAGGAGUGACAGUAACUUGAAAAGAACCAGACAUUUAUAAAGAAAUAACGAAGAUUUGCAACGUUCUUCUAUCGCCCUGGGCGACAACCGCGUGAAAGAAAAUUUUCUGCAUUCGCCAUUAAGAUCGUUGAAAACCGAACUUUGAACAUAUUCCCUUGACAUUCCGGAUGUUCUCGUGAUUCUCCUGGUGUGGUGAUGGCUUCUUCCACAGAUAGUACGGCGGGUAGUACUGUGUGUUGGGUGUAAAAUAGUCACUGGUCCACUGCUGAGUGAAAGCGGCACUCUUGGCUGUUCCAAGUCCUGAGGGUCCCUGCUGCUGUGAGCUGUUCUGGUCCCAUUCUACUGCUCUGCCCAGUGCAAAUGCAGCCAAAAACAGUUCCCCAAUGUAAAGGCCUCUUCCCAACAGCUUUGUCUCCUCUCUCAACAGCCUUUCUGUCCUCUUGAACAAAUAAUCAGAGGCCCGUCUCACCGUCUGCUACCCCCUUACCUCCUGCCCUGCACCCCUUUUUCCACUCAGCACUCCUUCCCCCAAUGCCCAGUUUUUGGAGUAAGGAAGGCAACUUUCCACUGAAGAGAGGUCCCUGGCCCUGAACCCAGUAUCUAAGCUGUUAGCUACAGGGUGGAACAAGACGGCAGUUCUCCAGAGUUUACAGCACAGAGCAGUGAAUGCGUUAUCGUCUGGAGAGAAAAAUAACAAGACAAUGUAUCUGCUUGUAAAAAUUAAUGUUCAUUCAGAAACUGAAUGUUUAAGGAUUAGAGUCUUCACCUGAAGCAAACAACCACAUCUUAAAUGUUUUUCCUCCAAAUGUUUUAUGUAGCUAGUGUAUUAUAUACCUAUGUGCACUAUAAGGAACACAUUCAACAUGGCCAUUUAUGUCUUUUUAAAUAAAAAUGGAACUGUUCAAUACAGAA